GUCGCCUCAAGGAUUGAACUCACAACCCUGGGUUUAGCAAGUCAAUGCUCGAACCACUAAGCUAUCCCUCCCCCAUAUAACUAUCUAAUCCUGCCCCACUUGUUUUGUAGAUUCAGAAGCCUGGACAAGUACUAGCCUGCAUCACCCCAUUUUCUUGGUCCAGCAACUGUGUGAGGGAGAGAGGGAUGAUGCUGUUGAGGCAGUUGACCAGCCUUCCAUAUGGAAAAGAGCCGGAUCCCACAAUGUGUACUCAAGCAAGACUCCUAGAUCACAAGAUUUGGCCCUUAGAGAUAACUGGCUCUACAUGCUAUGAUGGCAUUGAUUUUUAAGCAUAUUAAAACAAUUGAUGGCAUUAUAUGGCUCUGUACACCCAGGACUCUAAACAAUUAUCUACAAUGAGGAGGUACUACCUAUGUAUGAUGACUUAAAUUUGAUAUAAGUAGACUCAACAUUAUUUUGCCACACAAAUAGAAUGUACCAAACAAAGAUGGUUUACUACUUUAAGCACCAACUAUGACAUGCCAAAAUUCCCUGAAGCCACAGGUUACCAACUGGAUGACUCAGCCCUUCAUAUGUCUGAGGAAUAUGCAAAAACAAAUGAUCACAAUCUGAGGAGAAAGACAUUUGAAUAAAUACUACUGUUGUUACUACUGACAUCAGGAGGGCAAGCGAAUGCAAACAUACAAGUCCGUUCCAUACUAAAAGUCAGAACCCAGCUAAGGGAAAGCAAGAUUCAGCAUCAAAGAAAGGAUGAGCUCUCAUCACAACGCAUUGCAUAACUGUGACCCUGCAGCAACUUCUGAGCUCCACAAGAUAUGAAAAUAGUAACUAGCCAAGCAGAGUUCACCAGACCUAAGGAAAUCUUUGGUUAGGGUAUGUCUACACAUGGAAUUAUUCCAGACCAGAUUAGCUCUUCCCAUCCACGUUUGAAUUCUUAUUCUGAAAUAAAAAUUAAUCCAGAAUAGUUCAUCUGGAAUAAUUAAUCUCAUGCUUUAUUUUAUUCCAGAAUAGCUCUCCCGUGUAGACAAGCCCUUAUAAAAUAUAUUAGGUAAAUAAUGAACCAUAUAUAUCCUAAAUGUCUUAAAGCUUCAUGUGAAGCCACCAGUUUCAAACAGGCCUUACUCAACCUGUAGCAAUAUAAAUAAGUAAGGCCUGGCACUGAAAGGGUUAACUUGAGAUGGAGAACUCAGUUAAGGCAUCUGGGGGGUGGCCCAGGCACCAGCCCAGCUGGAGGAGGAGCUGGAUGGUGAGGAAGCCCAGCUGAGAAGGGAGUACUAUGAGAGAGAACUCUGUAGCCUGGCUGCUAGAGAAUGGUAGAAAGGCCUCUAGAGAGUGAGGCAGAUAUACAGUAAGCCCAGAGAGAAGCUGUGGGAAAGGACCUGAAGAAAGGCCAAGGUAAGAAGAAAUCCGAGAGGCAGUGAGCAGUCUGACAUAGCAGAUGUUAGUGCUCAUCACAGGGUCCUUGUACUGGAACCCAGAAGACAAAGAGGGACUGAGCUCCCCUACUAGCUCCUGGGAAACACUCUAACAUGAUGGGGAGAAGGGCUACUGAGUUUGGAACUGGGCAUCCAGGGAGAAAGACCAGGGAAGUCUUCUUCUGCACAAGAGUGGGAGGACAACCCUGCAGAGCCUCAGAAGGGGUGAAGAGUCUGCAGAGGAUCCAGCCUAGGAAUGAGUGAAGAGGAGGUGUCGGUGCAGAUAUACAUUCAAGGAAAAUGAAAUUCAUGGUGCCAGAGCCUAACAACAUCCAGUGAAUCAGAGAAAGAUCCUUGAAGAUCAAAAGCAGAACCAUUCAGUGGAACUGAUAGUGCCCCAUCAAACAGCAUGCGCCUGUUUGAGUAUCUUUGCAUUUACUAGAAUUGGACAACAGCAAUAGAUGGGCAAAAAGAAGGCUCCAGAGAAAGAUAUUCAAAGAGAAGGAGACAGUUGGGAAGCAGUAAUAUCGAGAUGUUUGGAGUGAUGGUACACAGGCACCUGGACCUGAAGGCAGCACCGCAGCUAGCAGCAGCAGCAGCGCAGAAGUACUGAUGGUAUGGUAAUGGGACCUGCAGGAUUCCAGUCCUGUGCAGGGCUCUACUACCCUUUUCUGUUUUUUUUAUCCACCCCAUUCCCCCCUUCCACAAGACCAGCUUUGCUCCUUGAGCAGCUGCUCCACUUGCCCCACUCCAUUUAUGGCUCUGAUGGAUACAACCGCGUUGAUAAUUUUAAGAAAAACACAUUUCAGAGCAAAAAACAGAGAUUUUUCUUUACUUUCCUAACUGAUGUGGCAGAGGUGCUGGUGCUAUGAAUUGCCAUAUGUAGUUUUGCCAGGGUUCAGGCCCGAACAAAUUAAGCACUGCCUUGGAGACUGUUUUUGUAUGAAGACUGGGAUAUUUUUACUCUACUAAAUGUAAUCAAUUGCUUGACAAACAUGGGCAGAUAUGUUCCUUUGAUCAAUUAAGGACACCAUAUGUUUAUGCAGACAUAGCGGUACUUUCCAAAGUCAGACGUUUUACAAGACAAUCUGAUACUUUAAUGAUCAGAUGCAUUUCACACUUCAAAUAAUUAUCUAACAGAGGCAGAUCAUCUAUAAACCAUGCAGUACUUUAAAAAGUCCUAUGAGAAUCAAACCUUCACAGCCCCAUUGGGGAAGCCCCCCUACAGUUGCUAGGAGAGGUUCUCUCUUUCCCAUUGCCAGUCCAGUCAACUUCAAGAAGGCUUCAGCUUUGUGCUCAAGUCUGGGAAAGGCUUAUCAGUCCUACAGUGGGUAUUAGAGAGGCCAAAAUUAUUUCCAAAUCCAUCCCCUACAAAGGAUGCCCUUUCAGAAAUAAACCUAGAUACCUUGCUAGUCUUAGAGAAGGAGAUGAGACAAAACUUUAGAGUGAGUGCCAACAGAAAACUCCAGGACUGGUCAAACUGUGUGUUUUCAGUUCCCAAGUCCGCUGGGGUACACUGUCCAGUUCUAAACCGAAAGCCCUUAAAUCUCUUUAUGGCUUCCCAACUGUUUUGCAGCGAAAGGCUCAAAGCCAUGGUUUACAAUGGGGGUUUCCAGCAAAUACUAGAUCCAAGGAAAGCCUCUGGUAGCUUGGAUACAUGGUUAUGCUGUGGGAGAUUCCUAAGAAGUUAUACCAGCUACAGGUGACUUCCUGGAAAGCAAUAUUGUACAGUAGGAGGGAUUGGGAAUUGAGUCUGUACAUUGCUCCACGGAUUUUCACCUCAUUUAUGAGAUCCAUUCCUCAUGUCCUAAAAUUCUGGGAGUGAAAAUGAUAAUUUAUUUAACUGUCUUGAUUUCAGCAUAACCAGAAGAACUCCUAAAGUAGGUUAUUGUGCUUAAACUCCAUUCAGAAGGGCAGUCGACUUUCUAGUAAAUCUAGAAAAAUCUAUAUUAAAACUGUAACCUGGGCAGCCGCCUCCUGAGCACCCUGAGCUCAGUUCAAAGGUAGUUCAAAGAAUCCCCUACUGGGGUCUAAUUCAUUGAGUCCUCAGGUGUACAUUGGCCCUCUGGUCCCCAACCCCAGUUCAGUUCUCGUUCCUGAUAAUCCAAGAGUCUUUCAAAAAUAAAACACAGACUCAUACAGGCUUCAUCCCAGUUUCAGCUGAGCACAGCCCUGCCUCCCUGCAUGACUGUUGUUCUGCUUUCCAGCACCUCCAGCCUGGAGUUUGUCUUUCUCCACAGACCUUUCCAGCUGGGUCUUUGCGGUUUCUCCCUUGCUUGGACAGGAUCUCUCCCAUACAUCCCUGCUUGGAGAGCUCUUCUCACUCUCUCCUGCUUCUUGAGCUUUUCCUCCUGCUGACUCAGGGCCCUGCAGGAUUCUUCUUUCCCCCUGCAGUGUUUCUACAGCUUCAGUUUCUUGAGCAUUCCUUCUUCACUGCAACUUCCUGCUCCUUUUUGUAGAGAAAUCAUUUGAUUCUUCUCCAGGAGGAGAGGCUGAUCCUGUAAUCAGAGUUGUCUUAGCUCCCAGCUCUCCAUCCCAUAUGGCAAGCCACCCUGUUACAAACACCUUCACCCAGAUUUUACUUACUGAGAUCCACAGUAGAUUCCAGGUAGGGAUUAAAUUCUAAUAGAGUAUUUCCCAGAGCUUCCCACAGCUGUCCCCAACAUAUUAUAAAAACUCUAGGGCAACUGAAAAUAUUUACCAGAUCUUUGCUGUGGACAGCUCUGGCUCAAUUUAAGCCCCGAUGGAGACUUGAUUCUAAACCUUCACAGUGCCCAGUCCAAAAGGAGUUGACAAAUAUGUGUCAGGAUGUGAUGCAUGAUAUUCCUCUUCUCUCAGAGGUGCCAGUGUAUUUUAUGUUACAUCUAGGUAAUGGGGGAGAGGUAUUUUCCUUCAAGUUUUAUAUUCAAGAUGUUAAGUCUAUUCAUAGGUUUUCACUAUGUUUCUAUAAUAAAACACUUUACCUUUGCUGAACAUGUUAAAGUUUUGUUUACAUUUUCCAGAUGCCUUAGUCUUUCACCGUUAAACAUCAAGUAGGCACAGAAGAUAAGCUGUUCUCAGAGACAUCAAGAAAAUGUGUUACCUUUAAAGCAACAGUGAAUAGAUUAUGCCAAUCCAUUGAUGUGGUUUCUUUUUAAAAUUUGUGACAGAUGUCAAUAAUAUUUUUUUCAGAAUAAGUAGUAUGAUACAAUAUGUUGCAACCUCUAUUACAAAUUAUAUCAGUAUAUGUUGAUGAAUAUGUAGAAGUAUUAUGUAUUUAGCUAUCACAAUUAGGAUAUAAAUGUGACAGACUAUACUCGUAUGUUCACUACUUUUACAAAACAAUAAUAAAUUUUAUACAAAGUAUGCCUUGUGAGGUAUCAUUUGAAA